GCGGGCGUGAUGGAAUGGUAGACAUAUCGGACUUAAAAUCCGAAGGGGGUGACCCCGUGUGGGUUCGAGUCCCACCGCCCGUACCA
rnacentral:tRNA from 1 species